rnacentral:rRNA from 1 species
CUACGGGCCGCAGCAGUGAGGAAUAUUGGUCAAUGGCCGGAAGGCUGAACCAGCCAUCCCGCGUGCAGGAUGACGGCCCUAUGGGUUGUAAACUGCUUUUCUACGCAAAGAAAAGUUCCUACGAGUAGGGAUUUGCCGGUAGUGUAGGAAUAAGCAUCGGCUAACUCCGUGCCAGCAGCCGCGGUAAUACGGAGGAUGCAAGCGUUAUCCGGAUUUAUUGGGUGUUAAAGGGUGCGCAGGCGGGGAAAUAAGUCAGUGGUGAAAUGCUGCCGCUUAACGGUAGAAUUGCCAUUGAUACUGUUUUUCUUGAGUGUGGUUGAGGUAGGUGGAAUGUGCAGUGUAGCGGUGAAAUGCAUAGAUAUUGCACAGAACUCCGAUUGCGAAGGCAGCUUACUAAGCCAUUACUGACGCUGAGGCACGAAAGCGUGGGUAGCGAACAGGAUUAGAUACCCGGGUAGUC